rnacentral:rRNA from 1 species
UUUUAUUGAGAGUUUGAUCCUGGCUCAGGAUGAACGCUGGCGGCGUGCUUAACACAUGCAAGUCGAACGGAGCACCCCUGACGGAGUUUUCGGACAACGAAAGGGAAUGCUUAGUGGCGGACGGGUGAGUAACGCGUGAGUAACCUGCCUUGGAGUGGGGAAUAACAGCCGGAAACGGCUGCUAAUACCGCAUGAUGUAUCUGGAUCGCAUGGUUCUGGAUACCAAAGAUUUAUUGCUCUGAGAUGGACUCGCGUCUGAUUAGCUAGUUGGUGAGGUAACGGCUCACCAAGGCGACGAUCAGUAGCCGGACUGAGAGGUUGGCCGGCCACAUUGGGACUGAGACACGGCCCAGACUCCUACGGGAGGCAGCAGUGGGGAAUAUUGGGCAAUGGGCGAAAGCCUGACCCAGCAACGCCGCGUGAAGGAAGAAGGCCCUCGGGUUGUAAACUUCUUUUGUCAGGGACGAAGCAAGUGACGGUACCUGACGAAUAAGCCACGGCUAACUACGUGCCAGCAGCCGCGGUAAUACGUAGGUGGCAAGCGUUAUCCGGAUUUACUGGGUGUAAAGGGCGUGUAGGCGGGAGUGCAAGUCAGAUGUGAAAACUAUGGGCUCAACCCAUAGCCUGCAUUUGAAACUGUACUUCUUGAGUGAUGGAGAGGCAGGCGGAAUUCCCUGUGUAGCGGUGAAAUGCGUAGAUAUAGGGAGGAACACCAGUGGCGAAGGCGGCCUGCUGGACAUUAACUGACGCUGAGGCGCGAAAGCGUGGGGAGCAAACAGGAUUAGAUACCCUGGUAGUCCACGCCGUAAACGAUGGAUACUAGGUGUGGGGGGUCUGACCCCCUCCGUGCCGCAGUUAACACAAUAAGUAUCCCACCUGGGGAGUACGAUCGCAAGGUUGAAACUCAAAGGAAUUGACGGGGGCCCGCACAAGCGGUGGAGUAUGUGGUUUAAUUCGAAGCAACGCGAAGAACCUUACCAGGACUUGACAUCCUACUAACGAAGCAGAGAUGCAUAAGGUGCCCUUCGGGGAAAGUAGAGACAGGUGGUGCAUGGUUGUCGUCAGCUCGUGUCGUGAGAUGUUGGGUUAAGUCCCGCAACGAGCGCAACCCUUAUUGUUAGUUGCUACGCAAGAGCACUCUAGCGAGACUGCCGUUGACAAAACGGAGGAAGGUGGGGACGACGUCAAAUCAUCAUGCCCCUUAUGUCCUGGGCCACACACGUACUACAAUGGCGGUCAACAGAGGGAAGCAAAGCCGCGAGGUGGAGCAAAUCCCUAAAAGCCGUCCCAGUUCGGAUUGCAGGCUGAAACUCGCCUGUAUGAAGUCGGAAUCGCUAGUAAUCGCGGAUCAGCAUGCCGCGGUGAAUACGUUCCCGGGCCUUGUACACACCGCCCGUCACACCAUGAGAGUCGGGAACACCCGAAGUCCGUAGCCUAACAGCAAUGGGGGCGCGGCCGAAGGUGGGU